AUGGGUGGUUUCAAAGUUUGUAUGACGAUCGAGAACGAUGGGCUCCUAUUUAUAUGAAAGAUACAUUUCUGGCUGGAAUAUCUAUUGAUCAGAAUGGUGAGUUCAUGUGUCCCUUCUUUGAUGGAUUUGUACAUAAAGAAACAAAUUUGAGAGAAUUUUUUGACAUAUAUGAUUUUGUACUGCAAAAGAAUCAUCAGAAGGAAGUUGUUUGUGAUCUUGAUUCAAAAGAAUUUAGCCCCGUCCUGAGAACAAGG
rnacentral:misc_RNA from 1 species